GCAGAUCCUGCUACCCGCCUCCCCCAACAACAACUUGGCAUUCAUCCACAGAAACAGGUGACUUUCUGGGAGAUGAGAGAUUUCAGCACCAGGUACCAAGGGUCCUUGGAGGAGUCUUGCCCAUCCAUGUGGCGGGAAUUGGUCCUGCCUGUGGACACUGUAGUAGCCCAUGAACCUGCCUCAGCUCUGCUCAGCUGGGGUCCAGAAGUCCCUAAAGAACACUGACUCUGACAAUCACUCAUGGGGCAGCACAGAUCUGAGUCGAGUCUGAGACCUACACCACAGCUCACAGCAACACGGGAUCCUUAACCCACUGAGCUAGGCCAGGGAUCGAACUUGCGUCCUCAUGCAUACGAGUCAGAUUCAUUUCCACUGAGCCACGACAGGAACUCCCUAAAUAUAUUUGUUAAUAAACCAAUGGUUCUCCAGACUUUUCAGCAUACUGAGUGCUAAAGCAAACAAGAGAUUCUUCUCAAAAUAUGUUGGUGGCUUGAGAGAUGUCAUGACCAAGUGGUGAUCUAUACAGAAGGUAG
rnacentral:lncRNA from 1 species